rnacentral:misc_RNA from 1 species
UCUCCGUAGGUGAACCUGCGGAGGGAUCAUUACAGAGUUCAUGCCCUACCGGGUAGAUCUCCCACCCUAUGUUAUUAUUACUUUGUUGCUUUGGUGGGCCGUUAGGCUCCGGCCCGACUACCGGCCCCGGCUGGUAAGCGCCCGCCAGAGGACCCAAAACCCUGAAUAUUAGUGUCGUCUGAGUACUAUAUAAUAGUUAAAACUUUCAACAACGGGUCUCUUGGUUCUG